rnacentral:rRNA from 1 species
UUCCGGUUGAUCCUGCCGGAGGCUACCGCUAUUGGAGUUCGAUUAAGCCAUGCGAGUCGCGAGUCUUAGGGACUCGGCGUACCGCUCAGUAACACGUGGGUAACCUGCCCUAUGCUGGGGGAUAACCUCGGGAAACUGAGAAUAAUACCCCAUAGUUCACCACGCCUGGAACGGUGGGUGGACCAAAGCUCCGGCGGCAUAGGAUGGGCCUGCGGCGUAUCAGGUUGUAGGGGGUGUAAUGUACCCUCUAGCCCUCUACGCGUACGGGUGUUGAGAGACAUCGCCCGGAGAUGGAUUCUGAGACACGAAUCCAGACCCUACGGGGUGCAGCAGGCGCGAAAACUUGGCAAUGCGAGAAAUCGUGACCAGGGAACUCCAAGUGCAUCGGGUAAGACCGAUGCUUUUCUUGACUCUUCAAAGGUCUUGGAAUAAGGGGUGGGUAAGGACGGUGCCAGCCGCCGCGGUAAUACCGGCGCCCCAAGUGGUAGUCGCUUUUAUUGGGCCUAAAACGUCCGUAGCCGGUCUGGUACAUUCGUGGGUAAAUCAACCAGCUCAACUGGUUGAAUUCUGCGAGCACGGCCAGACUUGGGACCGGGAGAGGUGUGGGGUACUCUCAGGGUAGGGGUAAAAUCCUGUCAUCCUGAGGGGACCACCUGUUGCGAAGGCGCCACACUAGAACGGAUCCGACGGUCAGGGACGAAGCCUAGGGGCACGAACCGGAUUAGAUACCCGGGUAGUCCUAGGUGUAAACGCUGUGGACUUGAUGUUGGGGGCGCUCCGAGCGCGCUCAGUGUCGAAGCGAAGGUGAUAAGUCCACUGCCUGGGGAGUACGGUCGCAAGGCUGAAACUUAAAGGAAUUGGCGGGGGAGCACCGCAACCUGAGGAUUGUGCGGUUUAAUUGGAUUCAACGCCGGA